UACGGAGGGUGCAAGCGUUAUCCGGAUUCACUGGGUUUAAAGGGUGCGUGGGUGGGUCCGUAAGUCAGUGGUGAAAUCUCCGUGCUUAACAUGGAAACUGCCAUUGAUACUAUAGGUCUUGAAUUUUCUGGAGGUUAGCGGAAUAUGUCAUGUAGCGGUGAAAUGCUUAGAUAUGACAUAGAACACCAAUUGCGAAGGCAGCUUACUACGGGAGUAUUGACACUGAGGCACGAAAGCGUGGGGAUCAAACAGG
rnacentral:rRNA from 1 species